rnacentral:rRNA from 1 species
UAGGGAAUAUUGGACAAUGGGGGCAACCCUGAUCCAGCCAUGCCGCGUGAGUGAAGAAGGCCCUCGGGUUGUAAAGCUCUUUUGUCCGGAAAGAAAAGCAUUCGGUGAAUACCCGGAUGUUCUGACGGUACCGGAAGAAUAAGCACCGGCUAACUUCGUGCCAGCAGCCGCGGUAAUACGAAGGGUGCAAGCGUUACUCGGAAUUACUGGGCGUAAAGCGUGCGUAGGUGGUUGUUUAAGUCUGAUGUGAAAGCCCUGGGCUCAACCUGGGAAUGGCAGUGGAAACUGGGCAGCGAGAGUGCGGUAGAGGGUAGUGGAAUUCCCGGUGUAGCAGUGAAAUGCGUAGAGAUCGGGAGGAACAUCUGUGGCGAAGGCGACUGCCUGGACCAGCACUGACACUGAGGCACGAAAGCGUGGGGAGCAAACA